UACGGAGGGUGCAAGCGUUAUCCGGAUUCACUGGGUUUAAAGGGUGCGUAGGCGGGCUUGUAAGUCAGUGGUGAAAGCCCGGGGCUUAACUCCGGAACUGCCGUUGAUACUGCAAGUCUUGAGUGCACUUGAGGUGGGCGGAAUACAUCAUGUAGUGGUGAAAUACUUAGAUAUGAAUGUAGAACACCGAUUGCGAAGGCAGCUCACUAAAUUGCAACUGACGCUGAGGCAC
rnacentral:rRNA from 1 species